rnacentral:misc_RNA from 1 species
AGCAGCCGCGGUAAUUCCAGCUCCAAUAGCGUAUAUUAAAGUUGUUGCAGUUAAAAAGCUCGUAGUUGAAUUUCGGGAUCAAGUCGUCGGUCGUGCUCAAGUACGUACUGGCGUCAUUAAUUUCUCCCUUCUGACGAACCAUGAUGUCAUUAAUUUGGUGUUAUGGGAAAUCAGGACUGUUACUUUGAAAAAUUGGGUGUUUAAAGCAGGCUCACGCUUGAAUACAUUAGCAUGGAAUAAUGAAAUAGGACGUUCGAUCCUAUUUUGUUGGUUUUAGGAUCAACGUAAUGAUUAAUAGGGAUAGUUGGGGGCAUUAGUAUUCAAUUGUCAGAGGUGAAAUUCUUGGAUUUAUUGAAGACUAACUACUGCGAAAGCAUUUGCCAAGGAUGUUUUCAUUAAUCAAGAACGAAAGUUAGGGGAUCGAAGACGAUCAGAUACCGUCGUAGUCUUAACCAUAAACUAUGCC